GGCCUAACACAUGCAAGUCGAGCGGUAACAGGGGAAGCUUGCUUCUCGCUGACGAGCGGCGGACGGGUGAGUAAUGUAUGGGGAUCUGCCCGAUAGAGGGGGAUAACUACUGGAAACGGUAGCUAAUACCGCAUAAUCUCUAAGGAGCAAAGCAGGGGAACUUCGGUCCUUGCGCUAUCGGAUGAACCCAUAUGGGAUUAGCUAGUAGGUGAGGUAAAGGCUCACCUAGGCGACGAUCCGUAGCUGGUCUGAGAGGACGACCAGCCACACUGGAACUGAGACACGGUCCAGACUCCUACGGGAGGCAGCAGUGGGGAAUUUUGGACAAUGGGCGAAAGCCUGAUCCAGCCAUACCGCGUGAGUGAAGAAGGCCUUCGGGUUGUAAAGCUC
rnacentral:rRNA from 1 species